rnacentral:rRNA from 1 species
UACGUAGGGGGCAAGCGUUGUCCGGAUUCAUUGGGCCUAAAGAGCGUGUAGGCGGCCAGGUAGGUCGGUUGUGAAAACUGGAGGCUCAACCUUCAGAGGUCGACCGAAACCAUCUGGCUAGAGUCCGGGAGAGGAGAGUGGAAUUCCUGGUGUAGCGGUGAAAUGCGCAGAUAUCAGGAAGAACACCCGUGGCGAAAGCGGCUCUCUGGAACGGUACUGACGCUGAGACGCGAAAGCGUGGGGAGCGAACAGG